AACUGGCCAAUUCUGUUUCGAAGUACAAAGUCAGUUUACAACUGGAACCAUAAAAAGUUCUUGGUAUCCAGUGGAAUCCCCUUAGUACAUCUGACCUAUCUGCUAGUCAAUUGGCUAAGUGGACUUUUUUCUAUCUUCAUAUAUUUUAACACUAUAGACUGGACACCUAAGUUCAGAAGUCACACACCUCGAUUAAGCAUUCCACGCCGUUUUCUAUAAUGACAUCAUGCAGUUUUUACGUAAUAAACUUGCGUAGCGUAUCCCAUUUACGGGCCUGCUUUCUCUGGUGGUGGCUCAUCCCAACGACUCCGCAACAUUCAUUCUCUUUUCCACUAAGGAUCAUUCUCCAACAGCAAUUCACUCUUUGUUUUUGAAGUGGGGUGAGAAGUUUAAGCGCCCAUCUUGCGCUUAUCUUUGUCAUAUUUGAAGAACUCGAAUAAAUCGUGGUUUAAAAAAUUGGUAGAUCCUGCAAUUUCCUUGGUCUUCAAAAGGUGAGCACCUAAUACCACUUCAACAAAUUAUAUAUUUUCCGGAGAGACCAUAGCUGCUGAACGACCUUGAAGUGGAUCAUCUCAUAAAGUUUUUGAAAAAAUUUUGACUUUCUUUCACUGUAUUAAAUGACGGCGAAGAA